UUAAAAAAAACACUCUUGACUGAAAUUGAAUGUCGUGAAUGAAACAACAAUAUUGAAUUAACAUACUUGAUAAAAUGACACAAAAAAAUACACGUCGAAUUGUAAAACUCCUUCGAGUCGACAAUCGACAUACAACAUCGAACACAAUAACUUAGGGAUGAGAGGUUAAUAAAAAAAGGCAGCUUCUGGCGGGCAGUCCGGCUGAGCUGAAGGGUGUGCGGCACGAAAAGCCGGAUGAUUCUCCAAUUCACGAUCUAUACGUAAGAUAAUUGGGAAUGGACGAAGGUCUACAUGAAAUCUGAAAAUUUGAAAUAUGCAGCAUAUACAAAAUUGUCUUACUUAUUUAAAUUUGUAAGUUAUUUGAAAAGGAAAUGUGUUGUGUCAUAGGGAUAUAACUCUGUGAUGAUAUAAGAACAGUAUGUUGGUAUUAUCGAUAGCCCGAAAGGGAUGAUUUGUUGUAAAUAUUGCCUAUGAAAACUGGCGGGAAAAACAAAUUUAUACCAAUUUGAUAUUGCAAGUUCUUAAGAAAUAUGCAUCCCUCUGUGCAUUAAAAAGUAGUCUAGUAAUAAUUUUUGUUUUGUUUAUAGAAAUAUAGUUUUAGUAUAAUACCAUUAAAUGUACCUUCUGGCGUUAAAAACUUGAGGUAUCAGACAGCAAUCUGCCAAGCUAAUCUCAUCUCCUACACAGUAUUUUCCAGCAACAGAAGAUAAUAUUUUUUCAACAGCUCGAAAUCCCCUUGUUAUCCAGUGCUGCGCCCAUUCCUUUUUUUUCUCUUCACCAACAUGGAUAAGAACUAUUAGGUUCUGUAGCGGUUGAAUUCCUGAUGAUAUUACCUAAAAUUAGAAAUGACUUUAUAUUUUCUAUAUUAUAGUUUUAUAAAUAUA